rnacentral:rRNA from 1 species
GGCUGCACCGCCAGUUUUGGCGGGGAAGCUGAAUUAUUUUUCACCCAUGUCUUUUGCGCACUUGUUGUUUCCUGGGCGGGUUCGCCCGCCACCAGGACCACACCAUAAACCUUUUUUAUGCAGUUGCAAUCAGCGUCAGUAUAACAAAUGUAAAUCAUUUACAACUUUCAACAACGGAUCUCUUGGUUCUGGCAUCGAUGAAGAACGCAGCGAAAUGCGAUACGUAGUGUGAAUUGCAGAAUUCAGUGAAUCAUCGAAUCUUUGAACGCACAUUGCGCCCUUUGGUAUUCCAAAGGGCAUGCCUGUUCGAGCGUCAUUUGUACCCUCAAGCUUUGCUUGGUGUUGGGCGUUUGUCUUUGGCUUUUGCCCAAAGACUCGCCUUAAAACGAUUGGCAGCCGGCCUACUGGUUUCGGAGCGCAGCACAUUUUUGCGCUUGCAACUAGCUAAAGAGGCCAGCAAUCCAUCAAGACCUUCUUCUCACUUUUGACCUCGGAUCAGGUAGGGAUACCCGCUAACUUAAGCAUAUCAAAGCCGGGAAAAGGGAAUCAAGAGAAAAAUUUUGAGGGCCGGCAUCCGCCGUUUUGGCGGGAAAGCUAAAUAUUUUCACCCAGUCUGUGCGCAGUUGUCGUUUCGGGGGC